UGAUGUGCGUAACGUUGAAACAGAAAUAAUUAAAAACAAUACCAUACUUGAAACAAGUUAGUCCUGUUGAUGUUUUUAUUUGACAAAUAUGAUAAACUGUAAUAUAAUACAGUUUUUUGGAAGUCAGUUUGUGUCGUGCUUUUGGCGGGCUGCACGCAUUUUAAAUUCUGUGAGGAAGGAACUGUGAACUCAACCAACCGCCGUUUUCCCACACAAGAAUUGAGGUAACUUAAUGUCUGUGCAUCUUAUUUUAACAAUUUACACUGAUCAUCCUGUUGAAAAGUUUAACGUUACACACACCUGACUCUUGAUGUGUUUUAUUGUCUUCUUGAGCAUCUGUAAAUGUUUGUAUGUUUUGUAAUAGUUGUGUAUGAGUCUCUCAAUUGUCAUAAGUGUAUAAAGAUGAAGGUCAACAUCAUACAGUCACUGCUGGAAAGGGCUCAAAUAUGCUGAAGAUCCUGGAAAAGUAAAGAUGGGACCUGGAGGAUUUUUCUGAAGAUCAGUGGACAGUUUAAUGGCUCAGGACAAACAAGAGACUCAAACAACUAACACAGAACACACAAACAGAUGUUGAUUAUGCAGAUAACAAUCACAGAGGAUGAGGGAAGUGUCUCUGAAGAGAUCACCUGUACAGGUAAGACUGAUGCAGAAGAGCAAAUGACCAAAACGUUCAUUAUCGCUCAGUCAUUACGAGAACAUGAGCAUCUGUAAUAUGUUCACUGUGUUAGUUAAAGGAGUAGUUUACUUUAUAAUUGGCCCCCAUUCACUUUUCAUAGUCGUUUUUAUUAAAUUGUUAACUAUACACUUCAUUUCAUUAUGAUAUGUGAUGAAGAACAGUGUGUAAUUGAGUAACAAUAUGAUAGUCAUGUACUGUAAGUCAGUUUGUCUCUCAUUUAUGACCAUUUGAGUUCGACAUUUUCUCCAGUCAGCAUUUUAAAAAGAAAAACUGAACUUCUUACAGGAUGUGGUGUCUGAAAAUUACACUUCUGUCUUUCUCCAGCUGUCACCGCUGACCAUCAAAUACAGCAAACAAUACAGGGUGAGACACGCAGAGAGACAGACUGAGAAAUCGACAGAGACACUGAGAGAGAGAGAGCCGUAAAGAGAAACGAGGGGGUGAGACAUACAGAGAGAGACGAACACUGAGAGUGAGACAUACAGAGAGACGAGGGGGUGAGACAGACAGUGACAGUGAGACGUAUAUAGAGAAAGACACUGAGAGUGAGACGUACAGAGAGACAGACACUGAGAGUGAGACGUAUAUAGAGACAGACACUAAGAAUGAGACAGAGAGAGUGAGACAGACACUGAGAAUGAGACAGAGAGAGUGAGACAGACACUGAGAAUGAGACAGAGAGAGUGAGACGCAUAUAGAGACAGACACUGAGAAUGAGACGUACAGAGAGAAAUCGUGAUACUAGAUCAAGAUAGAUAAUCAGCGAUACUGAGAAAUCGCCAGAGACUGAAAAUAACACUUCUAAAAUACUGGUGUAAAAUCAAAGAUACUGACAACAACAAAUAUAUUGCUUUAACUAUUGAAGGUGAGUGAAGAGUGUUUAGUGUUUAGCAAUGCAUAAAUACUGUUUUAAAGAGUUUAAAAAGCAAGCCUGCUGCAACCAAUAAUCUCAAAAACAUUCAGUAUGAACCGUAAAACAGUUGUCAUGACUUAUGUCUGUCUGCCACUUUUAGUUUAAUAUUAAAGGAACAGUUCACCCAAAAAUGAAAAGUCUGUCAUGAAUUACUCACUCUCUAGUUCCAAACCUGUAUAAAUUUCUUUGUUCAGUUGAACACAGAGGAAGAUAUUUGAAGAACGCUUGUAACCAAACAGUUCUUGGACCCCAUUGACCACCAUAGUAGGAAAAAAUACAGUCAAAAGUGUCCCAGAAUUGUUUGCUGUCCUACAUUCUUCAAAAUGUCUUCUAUUGUGUUCAACAGAACUAAGUAGUUUUUCCUACUAUGGGAGUCAAUGGGGUCCAAGAACUGUUUGGUUAUGAGCAUUCUUCCAAAUAUCUUUCUCUGUGUUCAUCAGAAAAAAGUAAAUUUAUACAGAUUUGGAACAAGUUGACCGUGAGUACAUUUAUUUUUGGGUGAAGUAUCCCUUUAGGAUCGAUUCAUAUAUGUGUCAUUUAUGGAACAUUUUUAUACUUGAAAUAAUAUUGUAAAUAUAAAAUUAACUGAUAACUUGUGCUCAUGUAAUCCAUGAUCAUUGUGUUGUAUUUUGUUUCUGCAGGCUGUUCUAUAUCAGUGAAUGAAACAUCAGCUGUGAAGAUGAGCAGAUAUUCAGGAGAACCUGUGUUAUUCUCUUGUUUUGUUCAGUGCACCCCUCGUCAUAAACCAGAUCGAUGGGGAACGACAGAGAAAUGACAUCUACAGAACUCAAUAAUCUUCAUGAUUGUUUAAUUUCACUUCAGGGCAUUACGCUCUGCUGAUUUCUGAUCUGACAGAGGAGGAUGAAGGACUCUACUCGUGCUGGAUUAACAAGAAUCAACACAAGAACUUCCGUCUCGCUGUUAAGGGUAAAGAUGUCAUCUUUAUGAAGUUCCCCUUGAGUGUAAUAUAGUUUCUGCUGCAUUCUUCCAAAACCUCAUGUUUGCAAAGCCACAUUCAAUCUAAGAAAGGAUCCAUGCUGUGUUUUGAGGGAAGUUGUGUCUGCUUUGUGGUUCUAUAGGCUGUGUGGUGUCAGAAUCUAAUGAAACCAUGACGUCUCAUCCAGGACGGUCUGUGCUGCUCUCCUGCACCUGUGAAGAUGAUCAAACCAAAGCCAAACACUUCAAAUGGCGGCGUGCAGAUUUAAAUAAGAGAAUCGUGUCUGAGACCGAGAAGAGUACAGGCCGAUUCAAGACACUUGUUCAUGAUUCUCCUGCUAAUCUGUCUUUACUGAUCUCAGACCUGAUUGAGGAUGACCAGGGAUCAUACGUGUGGACAGUGAAUGGAAAAGUGAUAAACAGGUAACAGGUAAGUGCUCUCUCCGCUUUCUGUGUGCAGGAGGAAAAUAAACGUCACUUAAUAUAAACGUGUGUGUGUGUGUGUGUUUGCGCGCUUCCAGGAUCUGAAAGUCUUUUCAUGAGUAUUCUAAUCACGGGUCUGAUGAUGCUGAUGGUGCUGGGAUCGGCUCUGUGCAUCUACUGGAGAUGUGUGACAGCAACAAAAAACAGCAGCAGGACAAGCCAGAGAGAAUGAGAGUGAUGUGACAUACGCAGCAGUUAAACACGAGGCCGAAAUUACAAGAGGAACGAACUACUAAAUCUGAGAACUUGAUAGGUUCGCCGGGAAGAUGCACUCCGCCCACCGAGGGAGCCGAUUGGUCUUUGUGAGCAGCCGGCGGGAGAGAAGGCAGUUAUCUGAUGUCACCUCACGGAAAAC